UGCAGAGGUCUCAAGCGUUGUUCGGAUUCAUUGGGCGUAAAGGGUGCGUAGGUGGCGCGGUAAGUCGGGUGUGAAAUUUCGGAGCUUAACUCCGAAACUGCAUUCGAUACUGCCGUGCUUGAGGACUGGAGAGGAGACUGGAAUUUACGGUGUAGCAGUGAAAUGCGUAGAGAUCGUAAGGAAGACCAGUGGCGAAGGCGGGUCUCUGGACAGUUCCUGACACUGAGGCACGAAGGCCAGGGGAGCAAACGGG
rnacentral:rRNA from 1 species